CAAAAACGUUGAGUGUUAU
rnacentral:misc_RNA from 1 species